AUUGAACGCUGGCGGCAGGCCUAACACAUGCAAGUCGAGCGGCUCACCGGACGGGGAAGUAAUGCCUAGGAAUCUGCCUGUUACUGGUGGAUAACGUCCGGAAACGGGCGCUAUUACUGCUUCCUCUCGGAUUAGCCUAGGUCGGAUUAGCUAGUUGGUGGGGUAAGGGCAUACCAAGGCGACGGUCCGUAACUGGUCUGAGAGGAUGAUCAGUCACACUGGAACUGAGACACGGUCCAGACUCCUACGGGAGGCAGCAGUGGGGAAUAUUGCACAAUGGGCGAAAGCCUGAUGCAGCCAUGCCGCGUGUGUGAAGAAGGUCUUCGGAUUGUAAAGCACUUUCAGUUGGGAGGCGUUACCAACAGAAUAAGCACCGGCUAACUCCGUGCCAGCAGCCGCGGUAAUAC
rnacentral:rRNA from 1 species